rnacentral:misc_RNA from 1 species
AAUUGGUAAUCUAAUAAAAUAAAUAAAAGAAAUAAAAUAUACUACACUACAUCAGCAUUCUAAUAAAAGUGAAAAUUGUAUACAAGAUUGCUCUGCGACACACACAUAUAUAGAUAUACACAUGCGUACGCGUAUCUUUCGGAAAAAUUCAUUAUAUAUAUAUAUGUAUGUAUGUAUACGUUAUUAAGCCAUUAAAACGCAAAGAAAUAAAUAUAUAGAAUUACAUUUCUACGAACCUAGAGAAUUAUAUACGAAAUCCACAUUAUGGAAUAUUCAACCAAUUAACGAUCCGAGAAACAAUGAGAAUAACAAUACACGCACAUAUACAUAUGCAUAUAUAUAUUUUACAUAAUGGAAAAUUACAUUGUGAAAUGUAUAUAUAUAUAUAUAUAUAUAUACACAUAUUAUUAUAUCGAACAGCUACUCAUCUAAUAUACAAAACCACCUUGUAAAAAUUACAUUACUGAACAUUCAACUAAACCAACUGAAGAUUUAAUAUAAUAAUAUAUAAUAAUAUAAUAAUAUAUAUAUAUAUACAUAGAUAUGUGAAAUAGCGUUGUAUAUAACCAGAAACAAUACAAAUGUCACACGACUUCUUCAACAACUUCGACUCUUCGUUCCUGCCGACAACACCUCACACGAUGACUGCGUCUUCUAGGGCCACUUACGGAUUCUUUACAAUUCUUCUUCUUCUUGCACUGAAAUAU